UACGUAGGGUGCAAGCGUUAAUCGGAAUUACUGGGCGUAAAGCGUGCGCAGGCGGUGAAGUAAGUCAGUUGUGAAAUCCCCGGGCUCAACCUGGGAACUGCAUCUGUGACUGCAUUGCUGGAGUGCGGCAGAGGGGGAUGGAAUUCCGCGUGUAGCAGUGAAAUGCGUAGAUAUGCGGAGGAACACCGAUGGCGAAGGCAAUCCCCUGGGCCUGCACUGACGCUGAGGAACGAAAGCGUGGGGAGCGAACAGG
rnacentral:rRNA from 1 species